rnacentral:rRNA from 1 species
GAUGAACGCUGGCGGCGUGCCUAAUACAUGCAAGUCGAGCGAACAGACGAGGCGCUUGCUCCUCUGACGUUAGCGGCGGACGGGUGAGUAACACGUGGAUAACCUACCUAUAAGACUGGGAUAACUUCGGGAAACCGGAUCUAAUACCGGAUAAUAUAUUGAACCGCAUGGUUCAAUAGUGAAAGACGGUUUUGCUGUCACUUAUAGAUGGAUCCUCGCCGCAUUAGCUAGUUGGUAAGGUAACGGCUUACCAAGGCAACGAUGCGUAGCCGACCUGAGAGGGUGAUCGGCCACACUGGAACUGAGACACGGUCCAGACUCCUACGGGAGGCAGCAGUAGGGAAUCUUCCGCAAUGGGCGAAAGCCUGACGGAGCAACGCCGCGUGAGUGAUGAAGGUCUUCGGAUCGUAAAACUCUGUUAGUAGGGAAGAACAAAUGUGUAAGUAACUAUGCACGUCUUGACGGUACCUAAUCAGAAAGCCACGGCUAACUACGUG